GACGAACGCUGGCGGCGUGCUUAACACAUGCAAGUCGAACGGUGAAGCGCCUUCCUUUUUGGUGGGUGUGGAUGAGUGGCGAACGGGUGAGUAACACGUGAGUAACCUGCUCCCUUUUUCUGGAUAACCGCAUGCAAGUGUGGCUAAUACGGGAUAUUCUGGGUCUGUUGCAUGAAGGGUCUGGGACAGAUUUUGUUUCGGUGGGGGAUGGGCCCGCGGUCUAUCAGCUUGUUGGUGGGGUGAUGGCCUACCAAGGCGAUGACGAGUAGCCGGCCUGGGAGGAUGGACGGUCACACUGGGACUGAGACACGGCCCAGACUCCUACGGGAGGCAGCAGUGGAGAAUAUUGCACAAUGGGCGCAAGCCUGGUGCAGCGACGCCUCAGGAGUGAUGGUGGCCUGCGGGUUGUGAACCUCUUUCACCAGUGAAGCAGGCCUGCCUCGUUUGUGGAUGGGUUGACGGUAGCUAGAUAAGAAGCGCCGGCUAACUACGUG
rnacentral:rRNA from 1 species